rnacentral:rRNA from 1 species
UACAGAGGGUGCAAACGUUGUUCGGAAUUACUGGGCGUAAAGCGCGUGUAGGCGGCUCUGCAAGUCAGGUGUGAAAUCCCACGGCUCAACCAUGGAAGUGCACUUGAAACUGCAGGGCUAGAGUCCUGGAGAGGAAGGUGGAAUGCUUGGUGUAGAGGUGAAAUUCGUAGAUAUCAAGCGGAACACCGGUGGCGAAGGCGGCCUUCUGGACAGUGACUGACGCUGAGACGCGAAAGCGUGGGGAGCAAACAGG